CGGUUCAUUCAAAGUGAUGAAUUGUUUGACGAAACCGUCGGUUCAGUCCAGCUGUGUGAAUACCUUCUAAUAUAACCCUGGGUUAACCAAAGCCUCAUGAGUGGACACAGUAGACAGAAACUGAAAGUCUCCCAUCAUAAUUUCGUGUUUGUGUCCAUUAGAAGGUGGCCAUGCUGGGGCACUGCCUUGAAGAAUUUUAGCCGAAUAGAUUGACCCCAGAACUUUUUUUUCUCUUUCAGACACACAGACAGCACCCAGAGGGCGAUUCCAGUCUGAUACAGAAAACAAAAAGGCAUGCUGUGUCUGAAACUCUUGCUGAUAACCUCAGCUUCUUGAACCUGGCUAAGUCCUUUGCAUUCAAGGUGAAGAAAAAAAUUGGAGGCCACCGACAGGGAAAUAUCUUCCAUAACCAAGAGAGAAAGAAACAUCCUCCACGAUGGGACAUCAUCAGGAUUACUGAGUUAGUUUGUCUGUCAAGUCCAGGACAGCACCAAUGUCAACCUGAGUAGCUUGAUGAGGGCAACCACUCAGGGUCACAGUGUUCUCAAUCAGAUGAGGAGUGUGAGGACAUAAUUGCAAUUGUAAAUGAAAAAUCCAAUGUAGCAGAUUCUUGGCUUUUAUUAGAGAGCAAUUAAAAAUUAAAAUAUUGUUA